UACGUAGGGGGCUAGCGUUGUCCGGAUUUAUUGGGCGUAAAGAGCGUGUAGGCGGCCAGGUAGGUCUGCUGUGAAAACUCGAGGCUUAACCUCGAGAUGUCGGCGGAAACCAUCUGGCUAGAGUCCGGAAGAGGAGAGUGGAAUUCCUGGUGUAGCGGUGAAAUGCGCAGAUAUCAGGAGGAACACCGGUGGCGAAGGCGGGUCUCUGGGCCGAUAUUGACGCUGAGGAGCGAAAGCGUGGGGAGCGAACAGG
rnacentral:rRNA from 1 species